rnacentral:tRNA from 6 species
GUGGGCGUAGCUCAGUUGGUAGAGCCCCGGAUUGUGAUUCCGGUUGUCGCGGGUUCAAGUCCCGUCGUUCACCCCA